UCUGUCCCUGCUGUGGUUGGUGUUUGUGGUCUAGGAACCUCCUUUCCUCCUGCCUUGUGACCUUUUGGAUGUUGUAUCUUCAUGACCCAUCUCAGAGGUGGCGCAGCACUCCUGCAGGAUCACUUCAUCAGUAUAGUUCAGUUACAGCUGGGAGCUGCUAGACUGUCCCACGUGUCAGCACAGCGGUGGCGGUGAAUACCAGAGGAUCCCUGCAGGAAGAUGAACUUCCAGGCAGCUCACGCUUCUGUUUUCAGGGUGGGGUUGUAAGAAAAGCCUGCUAAAUUCUGGGAUUAUCAGAGUCAAGUUCCCAUCAGUCUGCCUCUGACAUCCACUCUGUCUUUUCUUCCAACAAUCGUCAGAAAAGUCCUAGUCUGAAGGUCUAGAUUAUUUUAGCAGUAGUAAAUCUCCUUCUUCUGACUCAGGAUUUAUGACUUGGAGAAAGCUUUUCAUUAAACUGUAUUUUUAGAAACAACUUCAUAUACUGACCUGUCUCUUUCUUAUUUUUCUUCUCUCAUAACUGCUUGUCUUCAUUCCCCCUCUCGAUCUGUCUUUGUAUCUUUAAUACCUCCUUCUCUAUUUCUCCCUUUUAUUUUCUCAUUCUUCGCUCAGAAUUCUUUGUUUGAAUGCUGCAGUUUCAUCAAUCUUCUAAUUAUCCGGGGACAGGUUGCACACUUUCCAGGUCCUCAUGGUGGAUCUCAAGGCGUUCUCAGUUCUGGGUCUACCCCAGGGUCUCCUCCCAGUUGGACAUGCCUGGAAAACCUCCAUAUGAAGGCACCCAGGAGGAAUCCUCAACUGGUUCCUUUAAGAAGGAGCAGCGGCUCAACGCCAAGCUCACUCCGGAUGUCCAAACUCCUCAACCUCUCUAAGGCUGAGCCCAGCCACUCUGAAAACUCAUUUCAGCCACUUGUAGCCGCAAUCUCAUUCUUUUGGUCAUUACCCACAGCUUAGGUGAAGGUUGGGACAUAUAUGGACGGGUAAAUGAGCCAUAGGUGUGAAAACGCGUGAUCACUAGCAGAGCUGAGUGUGACCAGUUUCUGGCAAGCGAAUAUUCUGAGGAGAAUCAUUAACUGCUAAAGUAAUUUUGUCCAUAGGUGAAGGUUGGGACGUAGAUGACUGGGUAAAUGGAAAGCUUUGCCUUCUGGCUCCAUUUUGCCGUCACUUGUGAACAAGAUCCCAAGAUACUUAAACUCCUUUACUUGGGGCAGCAAGUCACUCCCAACCGGCUGAAGCAAUCUACCAUUUUCCAGCAGAGAACCAUGGCCUUUGAGGUGCUGACCCUCACCCUUAGAGAGCGGUUGAAAGUCACGGUCGAUGAAGCCAACAGAACCACAACAUCUGCAGAAAGCAGAGAUGCAAUUCGGAGGUUCCCAAAAUGGACACUCCUCACCACAGCUGCACCAUGAGAACCAGUCCAACACCCACUGGAAACGGGUUUGACUAUGUGCCAAGAAUACAGACGAUGCUCUCACUUUGGAUAUACAAGGACAGGCUCAUGGGUCACACGUUCGUAAGCCUUCUUCAAGGUGACUUUUAAAUGCAGAGUGGUUCUCAAAUAAUGGGAGGAAAACUGAACUUUAAAGCUCUUUUGAACUUGGUUUUGUAUAGUGUAUUAUUGACAGUAAUGAAAGUCAACACUUCCUGUAGAAUA